rnacentral:tRNA from 1 species
GCCCCUGUAGUGAAACGGAUAUCACGCAAAGCUUCGAACUUUGAAGUCCGGGUUCGACUCCUGGCGGGGGCA